rnacentral:rRNA from 1 species
GACGAACGCUGGCGGCGUGCUUAAUACAUGCAAGUCGAACGGAAAGGCCCUGCUUUUGUGGGGUGCUCGAGUGGCGAACGGGUGAGUAACACGUGAGUAACCUGCCCUUGAAUUUGGGAUAACUUCAGGAAACUGGGGCUAAUACCGGAUAGGAGCUCUUGCUGCAUGGUGGGGGUUGGAAAGUUUCGGCGGUUGGGGCUGGACUCGCGGCUUACCCGCUUGUUGGCGGGGUAGUGGCUUACCAAGGUUUUGACGGGUAGCCGGCCUGAGAGGGUGACCGGCCUCAAUGGGACUGAGAUACGGCGCAGAAGGCUACGGGAGGCAGCAGGGGGGAAUAUUGCACAAUGGGCGGAAGCCUGAUGCAGCAACGCCGCGUGCGGAAUGACGUCCUUCGGGUGGUAAACCGCUUUCGCCUGUGACGAAGCGGGAGUGACGGUAAUGGGUAAAGAAGCACCGGCUAACUACGUG